UAUACAAUAAUGGAGUGUGCAUUUUGUUGUAUUCACAUGUCGACUGAGAUGAAGAUGUCCCCAUAAAUGACUGAUUCUGUUUGUUCUUUUAAAGGAAAGUCCAUUUCCCAUCCUUUAUUGUGUAAUUUACAGAUAAAUUUGUUGUGCUUCAGACCAAAUGCUUUUAUGUACAGAAAUUGCAAUGACAGUAGAAAUUAUGGUAAUUGAAGAGUGCUCUAUUUUAGGUUUUUCUCUGAUCACAUGAAGUGAUCAUCAGCGUCUUUCGUGGCCAUAAUCAUGCCCCAGAUUCCAAAUUAUUUUUUAUUAGUUUGUUAUUCAGAUUAAGCAUUUGUUCAGGGGAGGGAAGGACUGAGAGAGAAAAGCAAAAUGUUGUCUUUGCUGAUUGAUCUUCUCCUCUGAGGAAAAAUUAGAUAGGUCUAGUUGGAGCUAUUUUUUUUGCAUUUCAAUGCACCGAAAAGCAGUUUGCAAAGACUCCUACUACCUAAUUUCUUCAUCUUCUUGGGAAAAUCAAAUAUGGAUCCUAAAUGAAAGCCAUAGAGCUUUUAAAUAAAUGAAUAUAUUUUUAAAGUUUUUAAAGUGUAGUUUAGAUUUGCCUUAUCUUAAUAACAUUUAUAGCACUUCACAGUUUACAAAGCACAUAACUACCUACUAUCUCAUUUUAACAUUACAAUCUUUGAAGGAGCCAGGGCAUGACAUGACAGCUUUUUACAUAGCAUACAUAUCAUACCAUGAUAUACAUUUGAAGCUAUGUCUAAUUUCUGUAACUUGCUUUUUUCCCUUCAAUAACAUGUUGUGGAUAUCCUUUGUGUCAGUAUGUGAAAAUUCGGUCUAACUAGAGACAUUUAGGGUGCCUUCAGAUUUUUCUUAUAUAAUAAUGCUGAAUUAAUAUUCUUGUGAAUGUAUGUGUAUACAUGCAAACAUUUAUACAUACAUAUACACAUAUACAUAACAUAUGUGUGCAUAUGUGUGCCUGUGUGUGGAUGAGAAAGAGUCACGGUUAGAGAGAAAGAGAAAGUUUACAUAUGCAUUUAGGCAAGAUAGAGUGUUUUGGAUCAGAAUAUAUAUAAUUCAAGUUUUUUACAGAGGCUGCUAAAUCCUACAAGGAGAUUGUACCAAUUUACAACCUGCAACAAUAUAUACAGGGCUCAUUUUCCCCUUCUUCUAGCUCUGGAUAAUAUCAAUCUUUAACUUUUGCCAACUUUAAGGAAAAAAUGGUAUUAUUUUAUUUGUGUUUUUUCAAUUAGUAAUGAAUAAUAGAUCACCUUUGUAUAAGUUUAUUA
rnacentral:lncRNA from 10 species